UAAAAUACAACUGCAUAGAUAUAAGUCAUGACUCUUCACACACAACAUUUCACUUUAUUAAUCUGAAUAUACAUAUUAAUUAUGUAAUUAAAUAUAUCUAAUCUCUAAGACCAAACUUAAUUAUAAACUAACAAGUUAGAGGAUUAAAACUCGGUUUUUUUUUAACAAGCCAUUUAGCAACGAAUUGCAAUGAACUUCAAGAAAUCCAUUACAAAACCAAGAAAUCCGUUGGAAACACAAGAAAUACAUUGCAAAAACAUUGACAUUUUGUUGCAAGCUGCAAAAGUACAAAUUUAUUUAAGUAUAAUACCAAAAAUGGCUAAGUAUAUGUUAACAACGAUUCCGUAAUAUGUUAGUCUUGUUUUUUGCCAUCUUUAAUUUUUGCUUGGCUAAUAUUUGAUUAGAAAAUCUAGUAUGUCAAAAAUAUGGCUAUUUGAUUAGAAAGUAGUUAUUCCUGUUUUCCGCCAUCUUUAAUGUUUUCUUUGCUAAUAUUUGAUUAGAAAUCUAUGAUAUGUAAAAAAUAUUGCUUAUGAUUUUAAGAGAGAAUACGUGUGUAUUCAUCUUUACUCAUCAUUGAGAUGAAUGUUACACUUCUACAUAUUUUUAACAUGAAUGGUGAUUGUGUAUUGUUGUAUAUACAAGUUUAUACCAUGCAUAACUUGGGUAGUACUUAUCUGAGUACGAGGAUUGAGCUUUUUUUUUUUUUUUUUUUUGUAAUGUGCGAUUAGCAACAGAAUUGCAAUGAAUCUCAGGAAAUCUGUUGCAAAACCAAGAAACUCGUUGCAAAAUCAAGAAAUCCUUUGCAAAACUGUUGUCAUUCUGUUGCAAGCCGCAAAAUAUCAAAUUUCAUAAGUAUAAUACCACAAAUGGCUAAGUAUAUGUUAACAACGUUUUUUAUGAAGUUAUUCUUGUUUUCCGUCAUCUUUAAUGUUUUCUUUGCUAAUAUUUGAUUAGAAAAUCUAUAGUAUGUCAAAAAUAUAUCUUAUAAUUAUUUGAGAGUAAGUGUGUAUUGAUCUUAACUCAUCCUUAAGAUGAAUGUCACAGUUCUACAUCUUUUAACAUCAAUGGUGAUUUUUUGGUGUUUUCUUUCACUAAAGAUAUGAAAUUUAUAUUGUGUUAUAUACCAUGCAUAGACUGGAUAGUACUUAUUUGAGUAAGAGGAUUGAGCCUUCGUUUUUUCAGAAUGAGCGAUUAGCAACAGAAUUCCUAUAAACCUCAAGAAAUUUGUUGCAAAACCAAGAAAUCUAUUGCAAAACCGUUGUCUUUCUGUUGCAGGCUGCAAAACAUCAAAUUUUUAAAGUAUAAUACCACAAAAGUCUAAGCAUAUGUUAACAACGACUUCUUAAUAUGUUCUUCAUGUUUUCUGUCAUAUUUAAUUGUUUUUUUUUUUGCUAAUAUUUGAUUAGACAAUCUAUGGUAUAUCAAAAAUAUGGCUUAUGAUCAUAUAAGAGAGUUAGUAUGUAUUUAUCUGAACUUAUCCUUAUGAAGAAUGUUACACUUUUACACAUUUUUCACAUGAAUGAUGAUUGUUGUGGUGUUUUCUUUCAUUGAAGGUAUUAAAUUUAUACUUUGCAAUAUACCAUGCACAACUUGGGUAGUACAUUAAGUUAGAGGAUUAAAACUUGUUUUUUUUUUUUAACGAGCCAUUUAGCAAUGAAUUGCAAUGUUGCAAUGAACUUAAAGAAAUCCGUUGAAAAGCAAGAAAUCCAUUGGAAAACAAAGAAAUCCAUUGCAAAAUCGUUUUCAUUUUGUUGCAAGCUGCAAAACUAGAAAUUUCUUAGGUAUGAAACCACAAAUGGAUAAGUAUUUGUUAAAAAAGGUUCUUUAAGAAGUUAUUCUUGUUUUCCGUCAUCUUUAAUGUUCUCUUUGCUAGUAUCUGAUUACAAAAUCUUUAGUAUGUAAAAAAUAUGGCUUAUGAUUAUAUGAGAGAGUAAGUGUGUAUUUAUCUUAACUCAUUUUUACAAUGAAUUUUACACUUCUACAUAUUUUAACAUGAAUGGUGAUUUUUUUAGUGUUUUCAUUCACUAAAGGUAUGAAAUUUACAUUGUGCAAUAUACCAUGCAUAACUUGGAUAAUACUCAUUUGAGUACAAGGAUUGAGCCUUUGUUUUUUUUAAUGGGCUAUUAGCAACAGAAUUGCAACGAACCUAAGGACAUCUGUUGCAACACCAAGAAAUCUGUUGCAAAAUUGUUGUCGUUUUGUUGCAAGCCCAAAACUAGAAAUUUCUUGAGUAUGAUACCACAAAUGGAUAAGCAUAUGUUAACAAUGGUUCUUUAAAGUGAUAUUCUUGUUUUCGUCAUCUUUAAUGUUUCUUUGCUAGUAUUUGACAAGAAAAUCUUUAGUAUGUCAAAAAUAUGGCUUAUGAUUAUAUGAGAGAGUAAGUGUGUAUUUAUCUUCACUCAUUUUUAAGAUGAAUGUUACACUUCUACAUAUUUUAACAUGAAUGUCGAUUUUGUAGUGUUUUCUUUCACUAAAAGUAUGAAAUUUACAUUGUGCAAUAUACCAUGCAUAACUUGGAUAAUACUCAUUUGAGUACGAGUUUUGAGCCUUCGUUUUUUUUUUUUUUUGAAUUUUCUAUUAGCAACAGAAUUGCAACUAACCUCAAGACAUCUGUUGUAAAAGCACAUUCUAACAACGGUUCCUUAAUAUGUUAUUCUUGUUUUCUGUAAUAUUUAAUGUUUUUUUUUGCUAAUAUUUGAUUAGACAAUCUAUGGUAUAUCAAAAUUAUGGCUUAUGAUCAUAUAAGAGAGUUAGUAUGUAUUUAUCUGAACCUAUCGUUAUGAGGAAUGUUACACUUUUACACUUUUUUCACAUGAAUGAUGAUUGUUGUGGUGUUUUCUUUCAUUGAAGGUACUAAAUUUAUACUGUGCAAUAUACCAUGCACAACUUUGGUAGUACAUUAAGUAAGAGGAUUGAAACUUGGUUUUUUUUUUAACGAGACAUUUAGCAACGAGUUGCAAUGAACUUCAAGAAAUCCGUUGGAAAGCAAGAAACUCGUUGGAAAACGAAGAAAUCCAUUGCAAACUCGUUGUCAUUUUGUUGCAAGCUGCAAAACUAGAAAUUUCUUAAGUUUGAUACCACAAAUGGAUAAGUAUAUGUUAACAAUGGUUCUUUAAAAAGUUAUUCUUGUGUUCCAUCAUCGUUAAUGUUUUCUUUGCUAAUAUUUAUUAGAAAAUCACUGGUAUGUCAAAAAUAUGGCUUAUGAUUAUAUGAAAGAAAAAGUGUGUAUUCAUCUUAACUCAUCUGUAAGAUGAAUGUUACAUUUCUACAUAUUUUUAACAUGAAUGGUGAUUUUGUGGUGUUCUCUUUCACUAAAUGUAUGAAAUUUAUAUUGUGCAAUAUACCAUGUGAUAACACCGAAUUUUGACCAUUUUUAUAGGUCACUUUAAUGUUUUUUACAGGUGUUUUUACUCCAUUUUUAAAGGUUUUCAAAGGAUUUCUAUGUUUUCGGAUUUUGAAAGAUUUUUCAGGUAAUUUGGGAUAAAGAGGCACAAAUUGGAACAAAAAGACUCUUUUGGAUAAAUGCAGAUCGUCAGAACUCUCAUGGAGAGACGAAGACUUUCUCACCGUCUGAUCACCCUCCAAAUUGGACAACUUAUAGAAGAAUCAACCAUCUUUCAAAUGCACUUGGUUUGGAGACAUCCAACGGUUGGAUCUCAAGAUAUUCCAUUUGCCCCGGAGACACUCGAAGAUGGCCAGCAAGUCACGCGACCGCGGCCACCAGUCUAUUUUCCGCGGUCACAAGCUUCCCGACUGCGACCAACUACCUAUUUCCCGCGGUCAUGUUACUCCCGACCGCGUCCGGCCAACUCCGAUUAAAAGCCUAUAUUUCUGAAGCCCAAAGUCAUUUCACUGCCUCAAUUCCGGAACCCUAGAGACCAUGGAGUAUUAAAGACUAUAAUACUUGUCAUUUAUGUCGUUUUUAGAGAGAACCUUCAUACUUUUACAGAAACCCUUUUUCCUUUAGCCGUUUUAUGUGAUUUUUAGAGAAGAUUGUUCAAGUCUGAGUUCUUCAAUAGAGAAGCUUUCUUUUAUCUCUUUUCUUUACUGUUUUUGAUUACUUUUAUUAAAACCAAUAAUGAUGUCGACCUCAGCCAUGUCUGAGUAGAUUCCGAGUUGGGCUUAGGGUUCCCGAAAGGGACUCUCAUAAUCGAUUAAGACAUCUAGGUUUAUAGAUCUGGGAUUUUAACUUUGUUCUCUGUUUAUUCUCGUUCUAAUUGCAUGUAUGCUUGAUUGAUCACCUAGUAUCUGAUCUAGAUAGUUAGUGUGGGGGGAGUUGAUAACACCAGAUUUUGACAAUUUUUAUGGAUCACUUCAAUGUCUUUUACAGGUGUUUUUACUCCAUUUUCAAAGGUUUUCAAAGGAUUUCUAUGUUUUUGUUGUUUAAAAGACUUUUCAGGUAAUUUGGGAUAAAGAGGCAUAAAUUGGAACAAAAAGACUCUUUUGGAUAAAUGCAUACCGUCAGAACUCUCAGACCUAGAAUGAAACAGGCGAUUUUUCCAUAGGAGUGGAAACCUACCUGCGGCGAGAUUGUGAGUAUUGACGAGUCUUGUGCAGCUCUUGCGUUCUCUCCCUUCCAGGGCCAGAGUGGAAACCUACUGGUCAGGGUUGCGAGAAACAGUUGGUUAUAAUCACGACAGUGAUGUAGUCAUACCGCCGUACUCUAGCUCUAGAACCCUAUAUUUUGAUAUCCGUCAAUCCCAAUCUAUAAUCCCUAGUGUUAAAACCGAUUAUGAUCCCUGUAGAGUUCCCAAAAGCUCAGCGUUUUUAGCCAUAGUUUACAAACAAAUCGAUUUUUUACUUGUUUAUUUAGAUCUGCAUUUCAUUUGCUUUAGUUCGAUAUUUUGCUUGUUUCAUUUGCUUUCAUUCGAUUUUUCUACUUGCUCUCUAUGAUAAAUUUAUUUGCUUUCUUUCGUUUUAGUUUAGUCUGUGACAAACAACCAACCCCUAAAAAUCAAUUUAGUCUAGACAUAAAGUUAGAAACCGUAGAAGAAUACCAGGCACACAAAUCUCUGUGGAUUCGAUCCCUAAAUACUACAACUGAUUAGCUGUGAACUUGCAGCUUUCAUUUGUUUUUUUUAAGGGUAAAACUUGUUCCCUCACGCAGUUGACACGCAUCAAGUUUUUGGCGCCGUUGCCGGGGAUUUGUUUCGCUGACUUUGUUAUUUUUCUUGUUCUAAUUUCUGUUCUAGACACCUGAUCUCUAGUUCUUUCUUAAUGUUUGCUGAAUAAUCUUUCCCUUCUUUUGUUUUUCUCUAAAUUGCAUGAAUACCAGGCGCAGACCUGUAGAAAACAUUCCAAUUCUAGACGAGAUAGACAGACACGAAAGAGAACUUCGAAGACUUAGACGAACGCAAGGAAUGGCCAACAACGACCAGCCUGCAGAUUCUAUUAACCAAGCUUUAAACAUGGACCAAGAUGGGUCCGAACAUGGAGAAAAUGAAGAGAACGAUCACAGAGAAGGUGAUCAUGCUCGCCAAGAUGGAGAAGAGGAUGAAGUUCCUCCAAGAAACCAUCAAAACCGCGAGAGAGAAGAACGUGAAGACCUUGAUGCACCUAUCAAUGCAGCCGAUGGUGACCACCAGGGGAUGCAGCCGAAUGGACGUGUUAACUGCCCUGUUCAGCAAGCAAAUCAACACCGAAGACAAGCCAGGAACCAUCGCAUAGCUGAUUACGAUGCACCUACUCAGAAUUUUCAGAACCGGUCCGCAAUUCAAGUACAAUUUCCGAACCGGAAUGACUUUGAAGUCAAGCCUCAAAUCAUCUCUUUGGUGAAACAAAACCAAUUACAUGGAGUUCCUUCUGAAUGAUGAGAACCAUAUCGAGCUCUUUGAAGAAAUCUGCAGCAUGAUGAGAACAAACCAAGUUCCAGCAGACUAUUUAAAGUGUAAGUUGUUCCCUUUUUCAUUAGCAGACAAAGCUCACCGUUGGUUGAAAUCUUUGCCUGCAGGAUCAAUUACUAAUUGGGAAGUGUGUCAAACUGCUUUCUUGAACCACUUUUAUACUAAGUCAAGGUCAAACUUGUUGAGAACCAAGAUCUCAAGUUUUCAGCAAGGACCGACUGAACCUUUCUAUGAAGCCUGGGAACGUUUUAAGGAGUAUGAACGUGAUUGCCCUCAUCAUGGAUUUCCCGGAUCAAGCCUGCUGAGCACAUUUUACCGAGGUUUGCAACCAAAAUACAAACUUUCGCUUGAUACAGCUAGCAAUGGAGAUUUUUGACAAAAGACGAUAGCACAAGGAAGAGCCCUCAUCGAGAAUUUGGCUCAAGCCAAUAGCAAUGACUGUCCUGAAUACGAUCGCUCGACAAAGCAAAUCGGAACAGACAACAAGGAGAUAACCGAGUUGAAGAACAUGAUGAGCCAGCUUUUGAAAAGCAACAAUCGCCCAAUCCAUGCUUGUGAGACCAACAAUGGCGCAGAAGACGAAGGACCUAGUGAUAUCGAUCACAUUAAUCCAGCCUUUCAAGAAGAAGAAGUGAACUAUGUAGGGGCACAAGCACCAUAUCCAAAUCGCUUCAACAAUGGCUUCAACAACAACUUCCGGAAUGCAAACUACAACAAUCGCUCUUACGCAAUCCAAAUGUGGAGAAUCCUCAAGAUCAGUACUACCCACCACAGCAAAAAUCCUUCCAAAACAAGUUUCAAGGUGGAAGUUUCGGAGGGACAGAAGCUUAUCAACCGCGACAGCCAUAUAACUAUCAAGGUAUGGGCUUUAACAAUCAAUUUGUACCACAGCAAGGAGUCACAACGAACCAGCUAGCUUCGCAAAUCGGACACUUGAACAGUCCAUCCAACAGCUCGUUAUGACAAACGAGAAAGUAUCUAAAGACAUGAACGUCAAUUACUGCAUGUACAAUGACUUGAACGGGAAGUUUGAAGCUUUAUAUUCGCACGUCAAAAAGCUAGACGUACAAGUUGCCCAAACAGCCGACUCUAUGAAGAGACAAAGUGGAGCUCUUCCCGGAAGAGUUGAAGAUAACCCCAAGAGAUUUUGCAAUGCUAUAACCAUACUGCCCGAAGAAGAAGCCAGAACCGAUGGAAAAGAUGAAGAAACCCCAAUCUUUGUACCACUUUACAAGGAUGUCGAUGCCAAGCAGCGACCGUUCAAGGUACCUCAACGUUCACCGUUUCAAAGGCUUACAAAAGCCGACGAUCCGUGACGUUUUGUUUUCCAAUGAUUCAAUUCAGGAAUCAAGUUCACAGGCUGUCUAUGCGAUUCCGGAGCCAAUGUCAACAUCAUGUCAAAGACAUUUGCCGAAAAAUUGGGCAUACAAACCUUAAAGACAUCGACGGUCAAGGUUAUCUUUAGUGAUUCAUCUCAAAAAGAUACUAAGGGGCGAUUCAUGAUCUACAAGUUCUAGUAGGGGACAAGAUUGUUCCAGCAGAUUUCCAAGUCCUGGAAAUGGAUCAAGACAAGGAGAGACCACUCAUAUUCGGGAGACCAUUUCUAGCUACUGUAGGAGCAGUAAUCGAUCACGCGAACCGGCAUGCUGUCUUCCUCAAUUUAGAUCGCAGAAGGUUUUAUCUGACUGUCCUAGACGACUUUCCAAGCAAAGGAAACCGGCCAAAAGAGAAAGAAAAGGAGAAUCCAAGAGCUUUUGCAAAGAUCAAUAUCAUCAUUCCACCAGAUGCAACAUAAACUAGUGAGGACCAAAUCCAGGAACUGAUCGAAAACACAAAAAUGGUUUUAAACAAUGUUAAAGUCCGAAAAAAGAGUAAAAGAAAGAAGACGGCUCCCCAAGGAGAAGAAGUUAAACCUCCAGCGACCGGAAAUGAUAAGGGCACAUCAAGUGGAGUGCCAUUUAAAUCAGCCUGAUUUUUCAUGCCUACGUCGAGCUAAACGACUUAAAACAAAAGCGCUUAAUGAGAGGCAAUCCAUUUAGGUACCCUUUCUUUUAGUUUUCUUUUCCUUUUUACAAUUUAUGUUUUAUUUUUCUUUUAAGUUUCAGGUAUUCUUAUAUAACAAAAACACAAUAAAAUCAGAAAAUUAGAAAAAAACGAGAAAAGAGGAGAGGUUUUUAGCUGCUCGGCCUGGCAGAAACCUGAAAGUUGGACGAAGGCCACAGGAGAAAAGGCCGCGGUCGCGACCAAACGACUUGCGGCCAAAUCAUCAUCGACCGCGGCACCAUGAAUGUGACCGCGGCCGAGCUUAUGAUUACCGCGGUCGUGCGUCUCCUGACCGUGGCCGUUGGUCGUUGAGACGGGAACUCGGACUUCCGCCGCUUUUCAAAAGUUCCCGGUGUUUCCCGGUGUUACCUGGUGUUUCCUGAUGUUACCUGGUGUUUCUCGGUGUUUAUCCUGUGUUUCCUGGUGAUUCCCGGUGAUUCCCAGUGUUUUCCGGUGAUUCCCGGAACAUUCCUGGAAAUCUAUCAUCAAAUCUCUCUUUCCAGCAAGGUAUGAAGCUCAAACUUGCCAUUUUUAAUUGAUCUUGGAAUUUAGGGUUUUCUUAAAAAGCUCAAAUCUUGGUUUAUUAAUGGUGGAAAUAGCUUAAAGACAAUAGAUUAUGCUUAUAGGUUAUCUGAAAAUCAAUUUUAACACCUAGCUUAAGAGGAAUUGAGAUUUUUGAAAUUUGGAUUCUACAUGCUUUAUAAAAAUCGAAUUUGGAACAGUAAAAUUGAUGAAUUUGAUUAAGUUUUGUGUGAUUAGUGAUUAGUAUUAGGUAACCUCUAGAUUUGACAUUGCUCACUAAAACCGAUUUUUAGAAGAUUUCUAUGUUGAGAACAUCAAAAAUCCGAAUCUGGUCAUGAACUACUCGAUUUCUUCGAUUCAGUAUCAAUUAUGUCUGCCUGUGAUUUUAACUAAUCUCUUGAUACUAUGAUUAGUAUAACUGAUCGCUAAUGUGUUAAAAUCAGCAUCCAUAUUCACUCUUUUUCCAAGAAUCAUCUCGUCUUGUAGGAAAAAUGGGACAAAACAGAUCCCGAAGAAGCCGUCACACUGGUGACAGCUCUGAGGACAUUCCCGAUGAUAGUACUCUUGGAGAGUACAUGCUGAACCAAGCCAGACCGAGAAGAAGAAACUACGUGAUGAGGCUGCUCCAGCACUCAAGAGAAACACGAGCAGUCCCUGAGCCACCACAGAUCCGAUACAUUGGGAAAGAGAUCAACCCGAGAGUGGACUAUGCAAGAUGUUUCAAAAAGUUGAACCUCAAACCAACGCCUUGCAUUGAUUAUCAUACACUCGAGAUGCUUGGGAUUAUAGAAGAUGUAAUCUGGUACAUCGAUACACUUAAGCUGAGACCCUACAUGGAGCUGAACCUUCCAACUUAUCCCGAGCUAGUCCGCGAGUUCUUAGCAACUGUCACACUCCACCAAACGAAGAGGAGGAACCCCAGAGCAUAUGACGGCAUCUUGUCAUUCUCUAUCCGCGGACAGACUUACUCACUCACCAUUUUUUCACUUUGUGAAGCUCUUAAGCUUUCAUACACUGAUGGCAUUCACCUUGAAGAAGAACCCGAUUUUGACUUAUAGAGAGAUGGAUCAUGGUGUCUAUGAUAGUGGGAGAUCCAAGUCAGCCCUCUUUACUCAUCCUGCGGUGCGAGUUGUGCACAAACUCUUAGCACACACGAUUUUCUCUAGAGCCAACAUGGGAUGUGUUUUGAAGACCGAGCUUAUUACACUUCAGAUGUCAUUUAUGGACGACCCACGACUUGCCUGCUUUGCCUGGAUCAUAGCACAGAACAUGGUUGCAAGGACGCUACUCCAGCUUACGGGAGCGCUAUUACAGUGAUACUACAGGCUGUAGGAUUUGAUUUCUCAUCUGAUGAUCCACUUCCCGACGCCUGGUAUGACCUACUCUAUCUCUCUUGCGAUCACACUAUCUUUCGUGCCGCUUUCUAUCCAGACAGGUUCGAUUACAAGUAUUGCACUGGCACCGAGGAGCACCGACUCUUCUUACCUUCAGCAUCAGUCCUGAUAUUGUUUCACGGAGGACGUCCGCGAUGGACUCCGGAGCCCGAUGAGUUUCUACCAUCUAUGCCUCGUCUACCAUUCACCAUCGGCCAAUACAUAGUGGCCAAGGCAAAGCGCGAUGCACCUGCGGCCCGUGCUCACUUUCAGCCAUCUGUUUUGACCGGCCACACUUAAUCAUCGACAUCGUCACACACACACAUUCUGAUCUGGAGCGCAGAUUUGAGAGACAAGGACGACGCUUUAAGCGCGUAGUCACCUUUCUACAGGAGCAGCACCAGUUCGAAGCAGACACAUCGGAGGAUGAGUGAUUGAUCAGCACUUCACCGUCAUUUGACAGCCAUCACGGUUCUAUUAUCAUUUUCUUUCCUUUAUCUUAUUUUAUUUUCGCUUUUGUCCACCAUCUUUUCACCAACUUUUUCACACUGGGGACAGUGUGAUUUAAGUCUAGCGGAGGAUGUCUAUCCGUACUAAUCAUUUUCUUGCUUUGCUUUCAAAAUUUCAAGUACUUUUUAAAAUUUAAUAUGUAACCUAUUCGACCUUAAGUAUUUUUAAGGAAUGUUUGACACAAAACUAUGAUGAUUUAGACCUGCACGCUUCUACACUACGCAUGAUAGCUCAUUUGUGGUUAGCACUAGACUAGGCGGUAGCUAGAGUACUUGCACUACGAACUCCCACCAGAGGACUUCUAUUCAUGGAGAUUCUUUCUGACAGGAUAUACUAGCUCAUUUUAUUUGACCUUAAUAUUGAUAUCUAAUUUUCUCAUCAUUGAUUUUAGGCAGGCAUCGAGAUAUACAUCUAGGACAUCUUUUACCCUCAUUUUUACCACUCUUUGUCGUCCUAGAUGGCCAGUUCAUCUUUAUCUGGUACCAUACCCUAAAACCAAAACCCUUGUUUUCAAUCCUCAUGCAUUCUCUGUUUAGUUUAUAUCAGCAGAUAUGUGCAAAAAUGUCGGAGAGAAGAGGAGCGACACAGUUUUCAGUCACUCACAAGGAAGACUGAAUGGAAUUGGGAAGAAGAGUAUCAAAAACCUUAUUAAGCUUUACAAGACCGAUUUUAAUUGGUAAUUUCGUGCUCUAUGACUCUAUAUCUAAAGGUGUUCCCUCUUUAAAAACAAAAAAAUGAAUGAAAAGAGAGGGAAACAAAAAGUUUAAUGAGUCUUAGAUUCUCAAAAUUUUUGGAGCAAGAAGCAACCACUAUUCGUUUGAAGAGCUAUGGUUUUGAAAGAUUUACAAAAAUCUAAGUCUGGGGGAGUUAGGAGAGAACCUGAGGGAGAAGACCAGGAAUCUAUGGCAAGAGGAAAGUGACUGGAAACUGUGGACAUCAACAGCUUCACUCUCACCUGCAGUCAAGGCCAAUCGGAAAAACGUUUCAAAACAGUCCCGUUCAGCUCAUACAAGCAUCUGUGGAUCUGGUACACCUCUUGGGAUGACUAAACCACUCCAUCAACAACUGGUUUGCUCCAUUAGCACCCAAAGAUCUGAAGAAGAGGACAAGUCAUGGCCUUGCAACAUGGCUUUGUCUUGUGAAGAUGAGUAUGAAGAGCAAUACUCUGAAGAUGAAGAGUAUGGGUUGUUUGUAGAAGAUCCAAACGCAGGAUAUUACUCAGAAGAUGACUCAGGAGAAAUUCAAUGGAUCACCAACAACAUCAGUAGAGAAAAACUAAUGGAGUUCAACAACGUAGUCAGGUCAUUCCCUGCUCAUUUAAGCUUUGAUGAGAUCUGGAAACUUGGUCGUUUGCAAGUCUUUUUCAGGUACUGCAAGGAGUCUAAAGAGGAUAUCCAUAGAUACUUUAUGAGGGCUCGAUACAUGACAACACCAGAAGCAGCUGUCUAUGCGAUUCAUCUCAAAAAUCCGGAAGACUGCAGCCACUACACCAACAAAAUCAGCAAGGAAAAGCUCGGCGAAUUCAAUGAUGUGGUUCGAAAUUUGCCUGAAGGAAUCACGUUUGCCAGAGCUUGCAAGGACUUUAUGAUAGGACACUACUUCUGUGAGAGCAAAGAAUCAAUCCCUGAGAUAGAAGACUUGUUCAAUCAUGCCAGAAGAGGUAAACCUGUUCGAACACUUCACAAAAUCGAUGGUGCAGGUCAGUUUCUUAUCUCUUGUUCUAUUAGAGGAGAAAUGUUUAAAAACGUGCUAUGUGAUUCUGGAGCUUGUCUUAACAUGAUGUCCAAGGCAAUUGCUUUGAGACUUGGUAUUAGACACCUGUGCAGGACUAGAGCAAAGAUUAGUCUAGCUGAUGAUUCCAAUGCAACACCCAAAGAAAUAGCUCAUGAAAUUCCUUUGAGAAUUGGAGAUUGCAUAGUGCCUGUCGACUUCUACAUUGUCGAAACGAGAGAUGCAACAUAUCCAGCGAUUCUGGGAUGGUCUUUUCUAGCAACUUCCGGAGCUAUAAUGGACUGGCCAAACCGGAGGACUUCAUUUGCUAAUAUCGACAAAGAUGUCUUCACAGAAGCUGUCCCAUACAACAGCAAAGCAGGAAAACGUUCUGCAGCAGAAGAGUUUGAAAAAGAACUUUGGAGUGACGAAGAACCUGCUAAGCAAAGCAAGGAGAUGUCGAAAAAGACUUGUCUGAGGACAAGGUCUUCUUCAUUGGAAUAAGUCACGUCCAACACCAAAAGUCGAGCUAAACGACUUAAAACAGAAGCGCUUAAUGGGAGGCAACCCAUUUAGGUAUUGUUUUCUUUAGGAUUUUUCUUUCUUUUUCUUUUGAUCUUUUUCUUUUUCUUAGUUUCAGGUGUUUCUUAUAAAACAAAAAAGCCAAAAAUAUCAAAAAACCAGAAAAAAAAACCAAAAAGAAGGAUGGUACCUGACUGCUCGGCCCAGCAGGAACCAAGGAGAAUCAGGAAGAGGCCGCGAUAUAAGCCCCCGCGGUUGCAGACGUUCUGACCGCGGGAAACCUAUCAUCGAUCGCGGUCGCGUAGUUCUGACCGCGGCCAAGCGCUUGGUUGCCGUGGUCGUAUGGCCCCUGACCGCGGCACUUGGUCGUUGACAUUCAAACCCGACCCCAAACCACCCACUUCACCCCAUUCCACCUCACCAAUCACCCUCCACCUCAUUCAUCACCCUCCACCACCUUCAUCACCACCUAAUCACCUUCCCAAACCUCUUCGAAUGAAUCCGGUUCAUCUCCACCAGCAUCCCGGAUCCAGGUAAGUUCUCUUUAGCCUUACCAAUUCGAUUAUCUAUGCAUUUUUCUCAUCCAAUCUCGACUUGUUUCACACUGAGGACAGUGUGAUUUAAGUCUGGGGGAGGAUUUCAUCCCUUUCUAACCACUUUUCUUUCAUGAUUCUUGCAUUAUCUACAUUUUUUGCAUUUUUCCUAAAGUUUUUCAAAAUCGGUUUUCAAAACAAAAUAUGUUUUAAAGGGAAUGGUGAACAUGAAUCAAUGAUAGUUGACUGUGUGCUUUAGACUAUUCCUAGUGACUUGCUCAUUCAUGAUUUAGGACUAGACUAGGCGGUAGCUAAGCACAUUUCAAACAAAGUACCCCAGAGGAAUUUGAAUGAUUUCGAUUUAGAUGAAGGGAUACACUAGCUCUGUUUUAUUUGGACUUAAUUUGGACUUAAUUUUCUCAUUGAAGCAUUAGACCAGGGAAACGAAUCAUACAUUCAGGACUCCUUUAUCCUUUUACCACUCUCUGUUAAUCCUGAAUGGCUAGUUCAUCUUUAGCUAGUUCCCCACCUUAACCAAUCCUCUUUCAAACCACAUGCACUCUUGUUUUCUAUUGUCUUAUAUGCAAAUAAGUGCAAAAACGUUGGAGAGAAAGAGGAACGACGCAGUUUUCAGUCACCAAGGACAGAGACCUGCAAUUUGCCGGAAAAGUUCCCGGAAUGAUUCAACACAACAGGAAACUCAGUUUGCCUUAGAAAAAUCUCAAAUUUUGGUACAAUCUCGUCCUCUAGUCUCUCUCUCUUUAAAAGGCAUUUCCUUUCCAAAAAAAAAAAAAAAAAUCCGAAAAUAAGAAAAGAAAGGAAAUGAAAGCCUUAGAGAGUCUAGAGAGGUCGAAUUUUAAGUCCCAAGGCAACUGGAGUUUGAUUUUAUGGAUUUUUGGAGAUUGUUUUCUGAUUCCCAAAAAAAAUCUAAGUCUGGGGGAAUAGCUGUUUACAACAAAGGAGGAAGGAUUAUGCAACAACAUUUGGCAAGAAGAAAUAACUGAAAACUGUGGUCAUCAACAGGUCCUUAUCUCUCUUGCGGUUUUGCAUAUUAUCUUGCAUCCUCCAGAUCUUCAGGUAACCCGAAAUACUUUAACUCCACCACUUAAACAGCCCUUUAAUGCCAAACGCCGUCUACCCUGGAUGAUUUUUUUAAUGAGAACUCACUAUUGAACUUAAUGAAUGUAGAGAGCUAGUUGACUGGAAUCAAGAUUUAAAUUGUUUAAGUUUUGCAUGACGGAAAAAGUGGAUUAGUAUCUCUUGUGCAUUGGUGAGAAUUUUCUAGACUAAGUUGUGGAUUGAUGCACUAUCUUUGGUCCUAGUUUAGAAUUCAUGUCUAUGAGAUUUGUGCAUUCCCUAUUUUUGUUUUCACUUAAUCAGUUUAGGCUUUUGCUUUGUUUGAGGACAAACAAAGGUUUAAGUCUGGGGGAGUUCAUAACACCGUAUUUUGACCACUUUUAUGGAUCGUUUUGAAUACUUUUUCUAUGUUUUUAAUUGCUUUUAAGUACUUUUAUUACGUUUUUCUAUUAUUUGUAGUUCCAAGACUCUUUUCAGGAAACUUAGGGAAAAGCUUAACAAAAUGGAUAGAAAACCAGAUUUCAGCUCAGAGUCAAACCAUCAGAAGUUCACCCCUGAUUGAAGGCCUUCUCACCGUCUGAUCCAGCUCAAAUUUGGAGACCUUAAAGAUGGAAGUAUCAGCUUUCCAUUUCACUUUACAGCUUGGCAAUCCAACGGUUCAAUCAAAAGAUACGCGAAGAGCAAGAUGUCCCGUAAACCAGCCGGCAAGCACUUCCACCCGCGGCCAAACACUCAUUCCCCACGGUCAGGAGCAUCCCGACCGCGGCAAACCACUCAUUCCCCACGGUCACACUUGUCCCGACCGGGGCCAUCAAACUCCGAGCCCAAAAAGCCCAUUUCUGAAGCCCACAUUUGGAGAAACCCUAAGUGACGUCUAGAGAGGUCUUGAGCACUAUAAAUACAUGUCUUUGGAACCCUAAACGAAAAGAUAUCGAGUAAGCCCAUAUCAUCUAUCAUUACUAUAUAUUUUUAUUGUUUUUGCUUUAGGUUUUAGGGAGAGAGAGAUUUAUUCUGUUGAACCCUUGUUCUUUCUUUUUCAAUUUCGGUUUCUAUCCUACUUCUUAAUACUAUGUCUUUGAUUUCGUUCAUUAUGUCUGAGUAGUUUUAUUGUUGGGAUUAAGGGAUUUUUGAUGGGGAUUUAUAUGUUCGAUGAGGAUUCCAUGAGCUUUUGAGCCGAAUCUUAGAACUUUUUCUUCUGAAUUCGUUUUUACUGCAUGAGAGUAGCGUCAUGAACUAUAAUCUGAUCCAGAUGCUUGGUGACACGAAAGUGUUCAUCAGGUAUCAGAUCUAGUUUGGGAGAGCAAAACAAACAUAGGAGUGGAAACCUAUCUAUGGGCGAUUUGUGAAUUAGGACGAGUCUUAAACAUAAUGCAUCUCUUCUCUUCCAGGGCCAGAGUGGAAACCUACUGGUCAGGGUUGAGAGAGAUAGUUGUCUAUGAUCACGACAGUGGCGUAUUCAUACGUCCGUGACUCCAGUUCGAAAAGUUUAAGCUAAGAUCUUAUCAAAUUUACUCUCUAGCAAUGUUUUGAAUCGUUCGUACCCCUGAGAAAACCUCCCUGAACCCCAACGCCUUCUUUCCCAUUGAUUUACACUGAUUUUCUUUCAAGCUUUAGUUCAAUAUUGUCUUUCCUUUUUAGUUCAUUUUCAUUUAAGCAAUUAGAUAUCUGUUUUUUACAUUUUUAGUCAUUUUCGUUAAGUUUAGUUAUUACGUCAUUUAAUUCCCGUAUUCUCUUUUAAUAUUUCGUUUUUACAUUUUAAACACACUACCAAACCCCCAAAAAACCGUUUUGGUUCUAGACUUCCUUACUUUAUAUUUCAAAGGCUUUUUGCAGGAAAAGAUCCUCCUUCCCUGUGGAUUCGAUCCCUAAGUACUAUAAUCGAUCAGCUGUGCACUUGCGGCUAUUGAUUUCAUUUAGGGUAAAACUUGACAACCUUCACGACAACACCACAUCAACAAACAACCAACCCCUAAAACCAAUUUAGUCUAGACAUAAAGUUAGAAACCGUAGAAGAAUACCAGGCACACAAAUCUCUGUGGAUUCGAUCCCUAAAUACUACAACUGAUUAGCUAUGCACUUGCGGCUUUCAUUUGUUUUUGUUAAGGGUAAAACUUGUUCCCUCACGCAGUUGACACGCAUCACCAUGCAUAACUAGGGUAGUACUCAUUUGAGUAAGAGGAUUGAGUCUUCCAUUUUUUUGGAAUAAGCCAUUAGCAACGGAAUUGCAAUGAACCUCAAGAAAUCCGUUGCAAAACCAAGAAAUCUGUUGCAAAAUUGUUGUCAUUUUGUUACAAGCUGCAAAAACUAGAAAUUUCUUAAGUAUGAUAUCACAAAUGGCUAAUUAUAUAUUCACAAUGGUUCUUUCAGAAUUUAUUCUUGUUUUCCGUCAUCUUUAAUGUUUUCUUUGCUAAUUGAUUAGAAAUCUAUGAUAUGUAAAAAAUAUUGCUUAUAAUUAAAUGAGCUAGUAAGUGUGUAUUCAUCUUAACUCAUACUUAAGAUGAAUGUUACACUUCUAGAUAUUUUUAACCUGAAUGUUGAUUUUGUGGUAUUUUCCUUACAAUUAAGGAAUGAACUUAAAUUGUGCUAUAUAACAUGCCUAACUUGGCUAGUACUUAUUUGAGUAAGAAGAUUGGGUCGUCGUUUUUUUUUGAAUGAGCGAUUAGCAAAAGAAUUGCAAUAAACCUCGAGAAAUUGUUGCAAAACCAAGAAAUUCGUUGCAAACCCAAGAAAUCUUUUGCAAAAACGUUGUCAUUCUGUUGCAAGCCGCAAAAUAUCAAGUUUCUUAAAUAUGAUACCAUACAUGGCUAAGCAUAUGUUAACAACGAUUCCUUAAUAUAUUAUUUUUGUUUUCCGUCAUCUUUAAUGUUUUCUUUGCUAAUAUUUGAUUACAAGUCUAUAAUAUGUAAAAAACAUUGCGUAUGAUUAUAUGAGAGAGUAAGUGUGUAUUCAUCUUAACUCAUCCUUAAGUUGAAUUUUACACAUCUACAUAUUUUUGACAUGAAUGGUGAUUUUGUGGUAUUUUCUUUCACUGAAGGUAUGAAAUUUAAAUUGUCCUAUAUAACAUUCCUAACUUGGAUAGUACUUAUUUGAGUAAGAUGAUUUGGUCUUCGUUUUUUUUUUUGGAAUGUGCUAUUAGCAACAGAAGUGCAUUAAAACCAAGAAAUUCGUUGCAAAACCAAGAAAUUCGUUGCAAAACGGUAUCACAAAUGGCUAAUUAUAUGUUCACAACGGUUUUUUAAGAAGUUAUUGGGUCUGAUUGGUAGCAAUAAACAGGCGGUUGGCAAAGGCGUUUGAAAAAAUGGUUACCAAUCAGCAAGGUCGGUUGGAGAAAGCGUUUAAAACCGUGGUUGUAAUCAGCAUUUGAAACGGGCGGUUGAAGGAAGAUUCGGACAGUUGGAGGUUAAUUUUCGAGCGGUUGCAAACUGUAAAAAAAUAGGCGUUUAGAGCAAAUGAGCGGUUGUAGCCAGAUUUUUUUUUAAUAAUCAAAUUUGUGGUUUGAUAUUAAUUUUUAAUAAGAAAUUAGUAAAAUUAUUUGUUUUUUCUUUGUAUGUAUAUGUGUGUGUUGGUUUUUUUUUGUUAUUUCAUUCAAUUAACCAAACAAAAAAAAAUUAUGAGACAAUUGUUAUGCAUUUUAAAGUUAUUAAAAACACUUAUCCUCACUGAUAUUUAAAAAAAAAAACCUAAAAUUUGUUACCAAAUUGCAGAUAUGUUAUAGGCAUAUCAUAGGUGAAUGAUGCAAAUUUUUAUAAAACAAGAGGAGUUAUUUUGAUUUGUUUAAAAAUUUAUUUUAGAAAUAAUAACUGUAAUUUUUGUUUACUUAAAUUUCAUAUAGUAAAAUUUUCAACCGUUUUCUGUUAUAAAACCAUAUUUUCCAACCGCUAUCUCUAAUCGCCUCUUUUCUAACCGCCUUUGUUACAACCGCUCAAAAUUCUCUAACCACUUUGUUUAAGAGUCACCAAACGGAGUCAAAAUUCUUGUUUUCUGUUAUCUUUAAUGUUUUAUUUGCUAAUAUUUGAUUAGAAAAUCUUUAGUAUGUCAAAAAUAUGGCUUAUAAUUUUAAGAGAGAGUAAGUGUGUAUUCAUCUUAACUCAUCCUUAAGAUGAAUGUUACACUUCUACAUAUUUUUAACAUGAAUGGUGGCUUUGUGGUGUUUUCUUUCACUGAAAGUAUGAAAUUUACAUUGUGCUAUAUACGAUGCAUAACUUGGGAAGAACUUAUUUGAAUAAGAUAAUUGAGCCUUCGUUUUUUCUUUGGAAUGAGCGAUUAGCAACAGGAUUGCAAUGAACUGCAAGAAAUUUGUUGCAAAACCAAGAAACUUGUUGCAAAACUAAGAAAUCCGUUGCAAAACUGUUCUCAUUCUGUUGGAAGCUGCCAAACAUCAAAUUUCUUAAGUAUGAUACCACAAUGGUCUAAGCAUAUGUUAACAACGAUUCAUUAAAAUGUUAUUCUUUUUUGUCAUCUUUAAUGUUCUUUUUGCUAAUAUUUUAUUAGAAAUAUAUGAUAUGUUGAUGACACCUGAUUUUGGCUACUUUUAUGGAUCACUUUCAAUAUCUUAUGCAGGUGUUUUCACUCAGUUUUGAAGGUUUUAUAAGUGUUUUCCAUGUUUUGGAGUUUUAAAAGAUUUUUCAGGAAACUUGGAGUUUUGGAGUGCAUUUUGGAGCAAAAGUACAUUUUUGGAUAAAUUCAGGCCGUCAGAAGUUUGGCAACCAAAGAAGACCUUCUAACCGUCUGAUCAGCCCCAAAUUCUGAGACAUUAUACAAGAGACAGCCAGCUUUCCAACACACUUGGAAUCAAAGCAAUCCAACGGCUAGAUCUCCAGAUAUCAUCAAUGCACUGAAGGCCAAUCAACACAAAUCCAGUCAAGGACAGAAGCAUUCACCCGCGGCCAAGCUUGCUCCCAUCGUGGCUCAGGUUGUUUCACACCCGGUGGACUUAUGUGCGAACCUCAGGAGCCCAACCAAGGCCUAAGACACUUCCUGCACUUAUUUUACAAGCCCUAGACGCCCAGACUUGAAGAAACACUAUAAAUAUUCAUUUUUAGGUCUCUUGUAAGAGAGCCUCUUUAUUCUCUUUGAGAGAGAGAACUCAUUUGAAGCUUUAGGUUUUAUUUUUAUGCAUCUGUAGAAGCUUUUCAUCGCCACACACUGUCUUCAAUAAGAGAAGUUUUUCUGCAACUUUCGUUUCUUUACUUUUCUGCUUUCUAGUUCUUAAAUCGAUGAUGAUGUCUAACUCAGCCAUGUCUGAGUAGUCACCGAGUUACGUUGGAUGAAGAGGAAAUCCAAAGGGAUCCCAUGUUCGAAUGACAUCUAGGUUUUUAGGAAAAAUGAUUUCGAUUUUUACAUGAUUCUCCCAUUCAUCAAAAUCUCAAAGCGGUAACUCUGGAUUGAUCACCCAGAGUCUGAUCCUAUGUUAGAUCUGAGCCACGAGAGUGUUGUAUAUGGGUUGCCUGAACUAGAUCUUAUGGACGUCACAGUCGUAGGAGACGAAAGCUACCGACGGAGGAUACGUAAGCCGAGAUGGAUUCUGAUCUGAAAUGCAUGAUCUUGUUCUGGCAUGAGAACGAGAGUUAAUUGCCAUGAAUGAGUGAUUAGAUGAUUAGGAUGACGAGAGUCGGCCUAAUCUUACAAGUGUUUAUCCUAGUUUCAGAGUCAUAGAAAAUUCUUGCCUAAAUUCCUUGGGUUUUAGAACGUGAAUCCUAAAGAUGAACUAAACCCAGCGCCGUUUUUCAUAUAGUUUUCAACCAAUUUUUAUUUCAUGCAUUUUAAUUUUCUGCUUAGUUAAAUUUAGUGACAAACCAAAACCCCUUUUUAAUCGAUUAGGUCUAUGAUUGUUUUUAGCAUCAAUUAGAAUUCCUCAUGAUAACACUGGAUUUUGACCAUUUUUAUGGAUCACUUUGAUAUCUUUUGUAGGUGUUUUUACUCCAUUUUCAAAGGUUUUUAAAGGAUUUAUAUUUUUUCGGAUUUUAAAAGGCUUUUCAGGUAAUUUGGGAGAAAGAGGUGCAAAUUGGAACAAAGAGACUCUUUUGGAUAAAUUCAGACCAUCAGAACUCUCAUGGAGAGACGAAGAUCACCCUCAAAAUUGGAAACUUAACAGAAGACUCAAUCAGCUUUCAAAUGCACUUGGUUUGGAGACAUUCCAACGGUUGAAUUUCAAGAUAUUCCAUUUGCUCCAGAGAUAUUUGAAGAUGGCCGGAAAGCCACGCGACCGUGGCCAGCAGCCCAUCCACCGCAGCCAGAGCCAAGCGACAACGGCCAAGCCCUCAUUCUCCACGGUCAAACUUCACACGACCGUGGCCAGACAUGUUCGACUUAAGAAGCCCAUUUCUGAAACCCAAGUCAUUUCCCAGCCUCAAUUCCGGAACCCUAGAGACCUUGGAGUAGUGAAGACUAUAAAUACUUUUCAUUUAGGUCGUUUUUAUGUAUCACCAUUCAUACUUUUACAGAAACCCUUUUUCCAGCCGUUUUAUGCGAUUUUUAGAGAGGAUUCUUCAACUCUGAGUUCAUCAAUAGAGAAGCGUUCUUUCAUCUCAUUUCUUUACUGUUUUUGAUUGCUUUCAUUAAAAACAAUGAUGAUGUCGACCUCAGCCAUGGCUGAGUAGAUCCCGAGUUGGGCAUAGGGUUCCCGAAAGGGGCUCUCAUAAUCGAUUACGACAUCUAGGUUUCAGAUAUGGGAUUUUAACUAUGUUCUCUGUUUAUUCUUAUCUCUAAUGCAUGUAUGCUUGAUUGAUCACCACAUAUCUGAUCUAGAUAGUUAGUGUUGCAAAAAUUUUCAUAAGUAUACGACCUAGAAUGAAACAAGAGAUUUUUCCAUAGGAGGUGAAACCUACCUACGGUGAAAUCGUGAGUGAUAACACCGUAUUUUGAUCACUUUUAUAGAUCGUUUUGAAAUAAUUUUUCUAUGUUUCUUAUUGCUUUCAAGUGUUUUUAUUAUGUUUUUCUAGUAUUUUUAGUUUCAAGACUCCUUUCAGGAAACUUAGGAAAAAGCUUGACAAAAUGGAUAGAAGACCAGAUUUCAGCUCAGAGUCUAAGCCUUCAGAAGUUCACCCCCAAAAUGAAGGCCUUCUCACCGUCUGAUCCAGCUCAAUUUUUGAAACCUUAAAGAUGGAACUACAGCACACUUUACAGCUUGGCAAUCCAACGGUUCAAUCAAAAGUUACGCGAAGAGCAAGAUGUCCCGUAAACUAGCCGGCAAGCAUUCCUACUCGCGGCCAACAGCCAUUCCACCAUGGUCCCGACCGCGGAUAUUGGUCUUUCCGACCUCGAAGCCCAUUUUCAAGUCCAGAAUGAUUCCCUCAUUUGGAGAAAUCCUAAGUGAUGACUUGGACACUAUAAAUACAUGUUUUUAGGAGCCCUAGACGAGGGAGACACAUAUAAUUUAUUCUUUUGCAGCUUUUAAGUUUUUGUCUUUCAUUUUCUUAGUUUUUAGGUUUAGCGAGAUAGAAAUCUAUCUCUUGAACCCUCUUUGUUCUUCUAUCAUAUCGAUUUCUACUCAGCUUUUUAAUACAAUGUUUUUGCUUUCGUUUAUCAUGUCUGAGUAUUUUUAUUGUUGGGUUUAAUGGAUUUUUUAUGGGGGCUAUAUAUGUUCGAUGAGGAUUCCAUUAGCUGUUGAAGCUGAAUCCUAUAACUUUUUCUUCUAAACUUAUUUAUAAUGUAUGGGAGUAGCGUCAUGAACUACAAUCUGAUCUAGGUCUUGGGUGUUGCGAAAGUUUUUAUUCGGGAUCAGAUCUAGUUUGAGAAGAGAAGAUCGACCAUAGGAGUGGAAACCUACCUAUGGGAGAGCUGUGAAUGUUGAGGAGUCUUAAGCAUACGACAUCUUUUUUCUUCCAGGGCCAGAGUGAAAACCUACUGGUCAGGGUUGAUAGAGAUAAUUAGUUAUGAUCACGAUAAUGGCGUAUUCAUACGUUCGUGACUUGAGUUCUAAAAGUUUUAGCUAAGAUCUUUUAUUUUACUUUUAGGCAAUGUUUUGAAUCGUUCAUCCCUCGGAGAGAAUUUCCCUAAAAACCCAGUGUUUAUUUUCUAUUGAUUUACACCGAUUUUCAUUCAAGUAUUUAGUCUAGUAUUUCAUUCACUUAGCCGAUUUUCAUACAAGCAAUUAGGUCUAGCCUUUUUCUCGUUUUUAGUCGAUUUCUUUAAGUUUAGUUACUAGGUCAUUUUAAUUCCCGUAUUUUCUCGUUAUGAUUAGUUUUUAGGUUUUAAAGACACCACCAAAACCCCUAUAAAAAUCGUUUGGUUCUAGACUUCCUUACUUCACAUUUCUUUCGAAGGCUUUUGCUGGAAAAUCAUCCUUCCCUGUGAAUCCGAUCCCUAGGUACUACAAUCGAUCAGUUGUGCACUUGCGGCUAUUGAUUUUCAUUUAGGGUAAAAAUUGACAACCCUUACACGACAGCAACAUCAAGUUUUUGGCACCGUUUUCGGGAAAGGCACACGUUUUCUUCUCCGCAGAACCCUAAGAAAGGUUUGUAAAUCGACUCUAGAACCCUAUUUCUGGUUAUUUCCCUUUUUUGGGUUCUUUUUGCUUCAGUUCCCGAAGCAAUGAACCCUAUAAAUCGAAAUCCCUACUACGAGAGAGGUUUUCACAACACUCCUCAAGCCACCAGACGCGGAGAAGAGCAAUAUAUAUGUUUUUAGAAACGAUAAGACUACUUCAAAAAUAUUUUUAGGUAUUCUUGAAGUAUAACAUCUCAAGUGAGUAUUUAUAGGGUGGACAAUAAUAUUCAUUUUUUCCAAAUUUCAAGAUUUUUGGGGAAGACUACUCGACUUAUUAGUAUGAACACCUAACCGUUAGACUUUUUAGUUUUUUCAUUUCACAUAUUUAUAAGAAUAUUUGUACGAAUAAAUACAUAAAAUUGUAACAUAUGGACCUACAUAAUUGUCUUUUUUUUGUUAUCGUCUUGCCUGAAUAUCUUAUUUCCUAAAAUAUUGAAACAUAACAUUGUUUAAAUAAUAUUAUCUACGACAAGAGAUCAUUCUGUCUCUAUGGAAUGUUUCAUAAUUUAGUAACAUGGUAUAUUUACUUACUGAGGUUGCAUGUAUCUUUGGUGAAUCUUAAAACAUGGAAUAUAUUCUCUCUGACACGUGAAACGAAAUUGGUCGAUAUUGAUAUGGAAAUGUAUUGACAUCAAUUAGUGGGAUUGUUGUUGGUUUUGACAAUAAAGAGCCUUUAAUGGUAACUGUUCAAUGUUCUUUUUCAUAAUAAUUAAGUAAAAAAUAAUUUUAAAAGAAAGGAAAACUACCUAUUCAACUGCAUUGUCUAUCUUUUUUUUAUUUAAAACACUUUCCUUGUCCUUUGUCUCUUUUAUUUUUCUCUCUAGAAACCUCUUUCAGAAUUCCCUAUCGAAUAAAAAAAGGUUUUAAUAUGUCGGAUGCUGUCGAGGUUGCACGUUUGGAUACUUCCAAAACAGGAUGGAUUAUAUCUGUCAAAGUGGUCAUGCUCUGGAAACAUUCAACAUUCUGCGGAAACACUACCAAGAUGGUUCUAUCUAAUAUCGAUGUAUUUGUUUUUCGUAAGUUCUUUUCUUUUUUCUGUGUUCUAUAUAUAUUGUUCACUGCUUAUUUUUUAUUGUGUUAUUUUUUAGGGCACUCACAUCGCUGCAACCGUUAUGUCAAACGAAUUUUCCACUCACGCGAAAGAACUCAAACAGGGUCAUUGGUUCCGGAUCUUUAAUUUCAUCCUUAAGGAAGCAUCUGGAUCAAUCCUUACAACUACCAAUAAGUAUCGUUUGGAGUUAACUUCCAUCACCACUGUCACCCCUAUCAGAACGAGGUCAUACAAAUUGUUUCUCCACUGCUUUCGAUUUUAUGAUAUCGUGGAUCGAGCCAUCCCUUUUGAGUAUCUGAUUGGUAAAAAUUGCAUCUUAAAGUUUUUAUAAGAAUUAGUCCACUCUUAUCAAUUUGCAUGGAGGAUGUGUUAAAUUUGUUAAAUUAGUUUUUAUACAUAUGUGUUAAAUUUGUAAUAUAUUUAUAUUCCCUUUUCGAUUUUGUUUACUAUUAGACGUUACGGGAACUAUUGUGAAGAUGGGUGAACUCUGUAAUGUAAGCAACGACGCGAAUCUCUCUUAUCUUCGAUUUGAAAUAGUAGAUGCUCGGUAUUAUGAAUCAUGUGCUUUGUUUUAUAUAUGAAACACUAUCGACAUGCAAACUCUUUACCAAAUAUUUCAUGAUUUUUUGUUAUUGUUUUUCUUGUGACAGAAGGGAAGGUCGAUUAACGUGUUUUGCCUGUGGUUCUUUAGCAAGGAAUCUCUAUGAUGUAUAUCAGAGAAACUACUGUGAAUCGGUCAUCUGGGUCUUAAGGUUCUGGAAUAUGACAAAUGGCCAAGAUAUAGAUAUAUUUUCUCAUAAGAUGUCCUUAUUAAAUAUUGAUUGUUGAUUAAAACUAUUGUCUAUUGGUGUUUAGGUAUUGAUAAGAACUCUGUGGUUCUCCGAUCUAAUCCUCUUUGCUCAGACUUUUUGUAUAAUCCUAUCAAUGAUGAGGUUGAUGCAUUCAAAGCCACGUAAGUAUUUUUGAUAUUUUAUUCUAUAGAUUAUUGUUUGUAUGUUUAUAAAUAUGUGCUGGUAAUGAAUGUUUUAUAACUUUCGUAGGAGGAGUCGAAUGCAUCAACUGCCUAUGUCAUCUGUAAACCUAUUCUAAAUAAUUAUUGUAUUAAAAACUUUAUCUUUCUAUUUUCACUGUUUCCUCUUUAGUCUUUUGUACUCACUACUUAGGGUAGUUAUAUGUCGACUCUUUAAACUUGGAUCAAUGAUGUUAUCUAAUACUUUCUUAUGGUUUAUAUAAUAUUUUGAUAUGUAUUAAUGUUUUUAUAUAAUCCCUUUGAUGUAUUACAUUAUCAGUCUAGGUUUUAUGUACUAUGCUUUAUUUGUUCAUAUGGCUAUAUAUGCUCAAUGUCAGACUAGAUCCUUUUUAUAAGAUAUUCAUGGCUUAUAUUCUGACAAGUAUUGUAAAUCAUUGCUAGCAAUAAUUUUUUUUUCUAAACCAAUAAGAGUUUUUUGUAUAUCACUGGAAAUAGUUACUGACUGUCAUCAUAAAUUAUCAAUGGACAUCUACCUACAAUUGUCUUUUCCAAGAGUUUGUAGAAACUUUAAAAAUCAUGAUAGUUAUAGUUAGAAAUUCUACAAGAUGGGCUUGAUCAUAUUUCAUCACUAUGGUUGUUCAUGGAAUCAACAACAUUUUGAUAGAUGUCUAAAUUCGUUUAACAACAUUUAAUUUAAUCCAUGGAAACAACAACAUUUUGAUAGAUGUCUAAAUUCAUUUAUGUUUUAAUUAUAUACUAGAUUUUAACCCCGUGCGUCCGCACGAGAAUGUUUUAUUUUUUAUUUCUAAUAUAAAUUGCAUUUAUCUUUUUUUGUUUAGAUAUAAUUUGUUUUUGUUAUUUAUUUUUUUAAAUCAAAUAAUUGUUAUCAUAAUUUAAUUUAAAACAGUAAAAUUUGUAUAUUAGUAGAAUAAGAGUAGCGUUAAUUAAGUAUACAUUGAUCUAAUGUUAAUUAUAAACUUUGUUACUAUGUGAAUUUAGAUUUACACAUAAAAAAUCUAUAUAUCUAUGAAUUUGCUAAUCCAUCCAUUUAGUUGUCUUAAAUCAUUUUUAAUAUCUUACAUGUUUUGACAAACUAACCCGUAUAAGACUAUAAUUAUAAUUGUAUAACCCUAUAAAUAUUUACUAAUAUAGAAUAUUUGGACCAAUUGAUUAUGAAAAAAUAUAAUAAGAUAUUUAUUUAUUAUUUGUGCUAUUAAAAAAAUGUAUAUAUAUAUAUAUAUAAACUGGCUAACCUGUUAGUUUAAUUGUCUCAAAUCAUCUUAAUAUCUUACAUGUUUUAAUAAAUUAACUCAUGGACCUUAAAUAUAUAUAUAUAUAACUCUAAUCAGGUCGAUCGUAUUAUUGUAUAAUAUAAAUAUUUAUUAAUCUUAAAUAUUUGAUAUUUUAGACCAAUUGAUUAUGAUAAAAUACGAUAAAUAUUUAUUUACUAUGUAUUUUUAUAAAAAUAUUAUUUAAAUUUAAAAUUUUAAAUUAAAUCUUUCCUGUAUGUAAAAAAUUUUAAAGUAUUAAAAUUAUUAUCUAAAUUUUUGUAAUAAAAUUUAAUUAUAAUUUUUUUUUUGAAUUUUUUGAAUUUAAAUUAAAUUGAAUGCAAAUUUGUAACUAAAUUUAAUUAAAUUUCUAAUAAUUUGAAAUUUAAAUUAAAGAUAACCUAGAUUUUAGGAAAUCUAAAAAUAUCUAAAUUAAUAACUAAUUUUUCGAAAAUUAAAUAUAAAAAUAAAAUAAAAUAUUAUAAAAAAAAUUUUAAGAGUGUUUGGAUGCAAGCACUAAAUGUACUUCUAUUUUAAUAGAAUAGAUAUUUGCAUAAGAGAUCCAGUAUUGCUAAAUUUAUGUUUGCGUAAAAGGUCCAGUAUAGUUAAAUUUAUGUUUUUGUAUUACCUUAUUAAUCAACCUCUAGAAUAAAUCAUAUAUUGAGUUACUAGAAUCAAUAACAAUAAAAUUAAUAUAAUCAUGAAUUUUUUUUUAAGAAUUAUUUCUCGAUAUGAAAACAUAUAUAUAAUAUAUGCAUAUAUCUUUAUUUGAAAAGAUAAUAUGCUUGAAGAAUAUAUCUAUAAUAGAGUGUUAAGCAAAAAAAAUAUGCUUCUUUUCAAAAGAGUCCAUAAUUAUGACUAUUUAAUUUCAAAACAUCUGUAUUUACUACCUGCAUGUGGUUGAGAUUUGAUGUAAAACAACUUGGUAUUCCCCCAAGUUUUUAUUUAGAUAAACAAAAGUAUUUGGGUGAUGUCAUCUUUAUUGGAACAUGCGGUAGCUUAAGAUUUUAAAUAACUUAAAAGUAAUGAUUGUGCACUAUAUAGAUUAUACUAUUUGUUUUUUUUUGGUCUCGAUAUGUUCGCGUCGUAGAUCACUUGCGUGUAUUUUUAGUAAACUAGAAUCAUAAAUAUUUUAUUCUCUUAUAUUAUUUGGUGCUAAUCAAUCGGAAAAAAUAUAUAUUGAGUUAUUUGGGAAGUUGCUAUUGUCAGACAACUUGUGCCGCUUUAAUGAACAUUUUCCAUAUAUUUAGGCUGAAAAAAAGUAAACUACCGAAAACCUAAUGUGUAUAAUAAUAUUCUCUCUAUCUUCUUAUUUUGGUUUUUCUUUUUGUGAUCUUCAGACCAACAGAAAAAAAAAACAUCAUGUCGGAUGUGGCCGAUAUUUCUAGAUGGGAAACUCACACUCACUGUUCCGAGAUCUAUGUUCAAGUGCUUCGACUCUGGAAACAUGUCAACUUCUUUGGUGAUACAUCCUCUCGGACGAAAGGUAUUUUUAAGGUUGUUACUUCUUUAUAUAUUUUUCGGGAUUAUUUAAAAAGUAGAAUGUCGUUUUGCUUUUUAUUUUGGAUCUGAUACCAAAUCAUUCUUAGGGUGAUCGCAUUGCUGCAACUGUUAUGAUCGAUGAAGUUCCUCUGCAUGGUGUCGUAUUGAAACAGGAUUCUUGGUUUAAGGUUCGUCAUUUUAUUCACUUGCCCUACGCUCUCAUCAUCCAUGCUCUGACUUUUUGUGCAAUCCGGUUGAUGACGAAAUUGACAAGUUCAGGGUAAAGUAAGUAUAAGAUUUGUAAAUUCCUUUUUUACAAUAUUUUGUUAUUUGUGUUUAGAUAUACUGAUCUAAUCUAUCGAAUCUAUUUCUUCGUAGACGAUACCGUCUUCGUGAUUAAAGCAUCACCACCGGCGUGCACUUAUUGCUUACUUCUAUUUUCUUUAUCUAUAUAACUAAUGCUAUUAAGACACUUACCUUAUAACGACUGUUGCUUAAUCUCCUAUUUUGGUUAGAAUAUAUACAUCAUGCUUUAUUUAUAUUAAUGAAAUGACUUUUUUUUUUUAACACUGAUCUAUUAUUCUAUUACAAAUUAUGAGAACUAUUACAUCGACAAUUUAACAACGGACAAGUCUCCCACCUGCAAAUACGCCAAACGAAACUCCAUGCAUCACGUUAAAAACCUCCUGUAAGCUUGUCUCCAUUAAUCUGCAAAUUAAUAAUAAAUCGCACCUUCCGGGACUCGAAACCCAGAUCUCUUGGUGUAAAAGCAUUAAAGAACCCAUUAACCACUAGGCUAAGGAAGCUUCCACUAAUGACGCUAGAACCUUUUAAAUGACUUAGUUCUAUGAUUUUUGCACUAAACCUUUUAAAGUGAGAUUUAAAAUGUUAUCAUGUUUUUGAUAAUGUCUGGUAAUUGGUUAGGUUAUAAGUUAUUUUUUAUUUUGAUUAUGCUACUUUUUUGUUAUACGCACGAUUUUUAAUUUUAUUUGGUUUGUAAUAUGAAUUUAGUUACUUUUGAAAUUAUAUAUUCCAAAUUAUUUAACUAUUGAGUAAAAACAUGUAUUAUGUGAUAUACUAAUUGUUCGCUAAAUAAAAAUCAUUAUAGUGGUAUUUUCUACAAGAUCGGUUCAAUUAACUUUCAAAACUAUGAUUGUUUAUGGGUUCAAUAUCAAUUCGGUAUAGAGUAUACUUACAUUAACUUUUUAUUAUACCCAAAUGUUAUAUUAUUUAUUCAAAGAUUCCCAAUUAUUUAUUCAAAAAUGUCCAAUAUAGUUAAAAUUUAUAUUUCCAUCGUACCUUAGUCAAUACUCAGAAUAAAUAUAUAUAAUAGAUGUUCAAUAAUAUGAUGCAAUGUUCAUAUAUUUGGUUAGUAAAAUAAAAUAAAUACAUUAGAAGUAAAUAUGAGUUUUUUUCUUUUUAUUUAUAGAUAAAUUUCAAUAUUAAAACAGAUACUGUAUAUGUGUUUUUAUAAGAGACGAAGAUAUACAUGAUUGUGAUUAUCUGGAAAGAAAACAUAUUUAGUUAUUAUUUUAUGAAAUUAACAAACUUAGUUGUUACCGAUAAUUUAUAGUAAAAGCUUACGAUUAUAUCAUAUUGGCAUCCAACUUAUAAAACCGACAAUGUAAACACUUUCUAAUGAAUCGUCACCAUUAAGCGUCCCAAAAAAAAAAAAUGUUACUUAUAUAUUCUAUUUACAUCGGCUUCAGAGAAAAAAAAACAUAACUAUUUUAUGACAGUUAUCUCUCUAUAAUAUUUUGGAGAAAAAUGGCAACUUAUGAUUUGGUUCAUGAGAUGUAUGGAUGAAGAGAUGACUGAAAUAUUAUGGUUAAAGUUUUGAAAAGGUGGAACAUGAAUGAUCCACAAGAAUUACCAGGACUUGGCUUCAUUCGGACCGAUGAGAAUGUAAGUUUUGUUAUCAACUAAUCUUUAUAGUAAUAAGUCUUUGUUACGAUUUAUUUAUUGCUUCUUAUAAUUUUUAUAUUUGCUUUUCUUAUAAUGUACGAAUGCAGAAUUCAUACCAAAAUUCACAAUCAGAUGUUGAAGUAUUUCGAACGAGUUUGUCCGGAAGAUCAUUGGGUUAUGUUAUAUGGGUUUAAUCUCAAUCGAUUACUCACUAGACACGAUUACAUGAUUAAUCUGACCGACGACACAAGGGUUUCACGUGUAAUACCAUUAUCUAAUAGGGCAUUUGUCAAUUUCGUACAAUUUUCUCUGAUUACCAGUAAUCCUUACGCUCAUGAAUAUCCAAUCGGUGAGUAUAAUUAUAUAUUUUUUAUUGGUCUUAUUUCUUAAAAAAACAAUAGUAUUUUUGAUGUGUAUAUUUAUUCAGAUUUGAUUGGUUUACUUGACGUUGUAAGGGAUCUCAUACCAGUUGUGCAGACAGAUGGAAAAACUGUCUUGACACUCCGUUAUCAUCUUAAAGACAAUGAGUAAGCCCAUUAGUUUUUUUGGUUGUCGAUGGUUAUAAUAGUUUAGUGUUAUAAUAAUUGUAUUGUGUAAUUUGAAGGGCCAAUACAUUGGAGUGUAUCGCACAUAGCUCAUUAGAAACUGAGAUAAAAGAAAAAUGCAUAGGAUUCGAUGGUCCAUUUGACCUGUGCGUCUUAACUGAUUUACGAAAACUGGGGGUAUAUACUAAAAUUUGACACGAUUAUGAAAUAAUUUGAAUUUAUAUGUGCCACUAUGCGAACUGACGAUUUUUUUUAGAAGAACUAACUAUCCAAGAUCACGGAGCAGAAGGUCUUUCGCGUUUCAUGACUGCUCCUGCAAUGGAUGAAGUUUCUGAAUUUCGGGCAAAGUGAGUUAAUUACUAAGACAUGGAUCUUACUCCCUUGAUACGGAUUUUUAAUAGUACUACAUUGUUUACAUACUAUUCUUAAAUGUUAAUUUCAUGACUUGGGUGAAUAUAGGGAACAAAGUCCAUGGAAACAAUAUUUUGUUUAGAUAUGUAUUAGCUAUAACUUAUAUUUUCGUUAUUAUCUUUAUUAUUUUUUUUAUUUUUUGGUUGUUAGUUUUCCUAUGUUCUGUUAGACGAUAACAAUAAAUAUUCGGAAGUUAUUUAAAAUCUAUGAUUAUUCAUUGUUUGGUUAUUUAAAUUUUAAGAUUAUGUUUCGGAAAUAAUUGAUUUUAUAAUAACUAUGAAAUAUAAAUUAACCUUGAAAUUUUUUUGCUUAGUUGAACUUUCACUUUUCUGUAAAAUGAAACUCACGACAAUAAGUCAACAUCCUUAGAAUACAAUAUAUUAUAAAUGUUGACUAUGUAAGGUAAUUUUUCUUUUAAGGUAAAUUAGUCAUUCAAAAUAUAUAGACGGUGUUCAAAUAAACAAAUUUUAGUAGUAUUUUAAGAAUCUGUAACAAUGAAGUUUUGGAAUACUAACAUUAUUUUAAAUAGGAUAUUCUCUAUUUGUAUUUAAUCAAAGAUAAUAUUAUUUGUUUAUUCCAUUGAAUCUAAAAUGUUAAUAUUCUUAAAUAUUGGUUAUAGAUUAAUAUAAAAUCAUAUAUUUUUUCUUAUAAAUAUACUCUAACAAUCUCUUUCGAAAACGAUGAUCACGCAAUGACGAAUUAUAAUUUUGUUCGUGAACGUGACUCACAAAGAUCCGAUUGGAGAAUUGUAGUGAAAAUUCUGAAAAAAUGGGUGGUGGAUUACCCGGAUGGUAAUCGAAGCUUAAAUUUCAUCAUGGUCGAUGAAAGAGUAAAUGUCAAUUACGUAUUAUUAUCUUUAUGAUGUUUACUGUUGGUUAUGUAUCAUUGCUUGAGCAUAACUACUUUGUUUUUGAUGUUUUGUUGUUAUUGCAUAAACUUCUAGGGUUGUAGAGUACAAGCUGGGGUAAACAAUCAGAUGAUGGAUCAUUUCAAUCAGAGUUGCGAAGAAGAGCAAUGGGUUAUGUUGUCUGGUUUCCUUUUGAAUCCUUACAACUGAACUAAUAUCCAAAGUAUUAUGAAACAUGAUUAUGUUAUUACUCUAACGAAAGGAACAACGCUUUCACCAGCUCUACCAUUAACAAAUAAUUCAUUCUAUAAUUUCGUUUCUUUCCUCUCGAUUUAUGAAUUCCCAAGUGCUCAUUAUUAGCUAAUUGGUAAAAAUUAUUUUGGUAUCUUCGCAUAACGCAAAUUUUAUAGUCUGAACUCAUGUCUUUAUUUUUAUUAAUUACAAUCGCAGAUUUGAUUGGAGUGGUAUCUUCGCAUAACGCAAAUUUUAUAGUCUGAACUCAUGUCUUUAUUUUUAUUAAUUACAAUCGCAGAUUUGAUUGGAGUAGUCAAAGAUGCUAGAUACUUUACUAUUACAUACCCGGAUGGAAUGAAUUCAGCAUCAAUUUGAUUUCAAAUUAUAGACGACGAGUAAGUAGAUCUCAAACUAUAUAUUUGAAGUCUAAUUAACUAUUUCUUAACGAGGUUGUUUGUCAAACGUAGGGAAUUUAUGCUUGAGUGUGUUGCACAUGGUGAAUUGGCAACUGAAAUAAGAGAUAAAUGUAGAGAGUACGAGGGUCCCUUUGCUAUAUGUGUUUUAACCGAUUGGUGUGUAGUAAUUAACGAUCGUAUGUGUUCUAAUGAUACAAUAUUAUGGUAUUUAUACAAUCGUAUUAUAUAAUGUUACAAAAAUCUAAUAUAUAUAUUUUUAGAGGAUGUGUCUAUCAAAGAUCAUGAUGAUGAUGGUGUGUCCUGUUUCAUCAUUGAUUCACCAAUUGCUGAAGUUUUAAGCUUACGAAAUAAGUAAGUAUGUUUUUCAAUACUGUUUAAAUUGACUUAAAAAUUAUAUAUUUAAAUUUCAGGAUUUGGAAGAGGUUAAAUGGGUUGGAUAUAGAUGAUGUCCAAUGGAUUGGGCCGAGUAUACCGAUUCAAAUUUCAGAAUCCAAAUGCAUUAUUUUAUGUUAGAAAUACUGUUUGGAGUUUUUUCCUUAUUUACAAAUCUGUUUUGCAAUUAUUAACAAACAAUAAUUUACUCAAAAUUGGUUUUAAAUUACUGCCUAUAAAUAUAAUAUAUAUUAAUCUGGAUACUAAAUAAGUCUAAACAACCCAAUCGAAUUGUAUACGAAACAUACCAAUCCUAGAGCGUGUAGAUGGAAUAUUGAUUAUUUCAGUAAACGAUAUGAAUGAAUAUAGAUGAUCUUUGAGAACUGAUGAUGUUUCUUGGAUGUGAGUAUGUUCAUUGAAACACAAGUGAUAUUUGUUGAAGACCGCAGCUGAUGAUCGUAGAUCAUGUUUGACGCCAAAAUUACGAAUGAAAUACAAAUUUCAUUCGGAAAUUCGGUCACUUUACUGAUCCACUAAAUUACUGGGGAUUGUUGCUACCAUUCUAUCACCCUUUGACCAAAAUAUAUAAACUUAGAUAACCAUUUCGUAAAAAUAUAUGCUGUUGGAUUUAUAUACUUACAUGUUCAUCCGCCAAGAGAAGCAUUUUUUUAUGCACUGGAACCGAUGUCUUCGAUGAUAGUUUUGAGUUUAAAAAUUAUUUUCUCUGUUUAAUGAAAAUUUGUAUCGUUAUUUAAUAGAUGAUAACGAACAAGUGUAUCAUUAAGGCAUCAGUUAAUUCUACCUUUAAAAGUACCAAUAAUUGUAUAGUGACUUUUAAUAAUUAGGUUAACUAUUUAACGGUCAUAAAAAAUGUUAUUUAUAAGGAUGCUAGAUCAACAAAUAAUCGAAUAAAAAUAAAAGUCGAGAUGACGUUAUUCCAGUAAAUGAAAUUAUAGAAACGAUAUGUAUAUCUUUGGAAUAAUGUUCUAUAAAAAAAUUAACACAUAUCAAAUAAUUUUAAAAAAAAAUUGACACAUAUCACUAAGCUUAUAAAUAGAUUUGAUUUAUAUUCUUCAAAUAUAUAUGAUGCAUAUCCGUCAAGUAUUAGGAAUUAUAUUAUAAUUUUUUUUUCCAAAUAGAAACUUAUUGUAGUUGUUUUCAUUAAAGACUUAAUAUCAUUUAUUUUUCUAUUUUUAUUUUAGGUUUUGUAUUAUUUUUAAUGUGAUGUGGCAAACUGUCAACUAAAAGCAUAUCAAAAAUAAAUUUAUUUCAGCAAGUUAUAGCAAAUUUGUAAACAGUAUACUCUUUAACAAUUUUAGUUUCAAUUCCAAGUAUUAUGAUGAGGAUCCAAAACUUUAAUAAAAUAAUUAUAACCGGUUAAUCUAAUUAAAAACCUGAAUCGGUUUGAUAUAAACGGUUAAUUAUGUUGCACCCAAAUUAUAUACACCAUAUGGACCCAAUAUUUUUGUGUUAAAACAACUUUCUACUCUUCAUUUACUAACAUAUAAACCGCCAUAACCAAUAAAAUCCCUAGAAUUUUCAUCAUAGUUGCAACUUUUCAAAAAUGGAACAUUUAUAAAUUAUGAAAAGAUGUAAAAGGCAUUGGUUCACUGAACCUUCUCCAUAAAAUAUCUACAACCAUGCAACUGUUUACUCGACGUUAUAUAUAUCCUCAUUUCUAUACAUGCAAAUAUUCUUCAUCGAUAAAAACAAACAACAAAGCAAUAUUUCUCCGCAACCCUUUCUUCUCCUUUUUCAAAACACUUUCUCCAUGGCUUCAUAUAAAUUUGUUGAUGGAGAUGAGAUUGGAAAAUCUGUGUCAAAGUUUUGAAAAGAUGGAACAAACGUGAUCGACGAGGCUUACCAGGCAUGAGCUUCAUUUUAGUCGACGAAAAUGUAAGUAUUAUCUAAUAUAAACAUCUAAAUGUGUUAUUUAUAUUUAUUAUUUGCUUGAUCUCUCUUCAAAUUAUACUAUAUAUAGGGUUGGAGAAUCAAUGCUUCAUGUGGUAACCUAUCCCUUCCAUAUUUUAAUCGUGUUGGGCUUGAAGGACAGUGGCUUGAAUUUUCUAGAUUCAGCUUGAUACCAUCUGAAUGGAAGAACGAGGGAAGGACAACAAGGCACAAUUACCAGAUCAUUCUCCUACCGAGACUAAAGUCUCAUCUCUACGACCACUGACAGUGGAUCUCUUCAUGAACUUUGUCCCUUUUAGUGAGAUCUACAGAAUUCCUUAUGCUCAGUUAUAUCAUGUUGGUAAGAUUAUCUUUUAAUGUUCCUUUAAAUGUUUUCGUGUGAACUUCGAUUAUGAUAUUUAUCUAUGUAUAAUAACUAGGAUAUUUGUCGUGAUUGAUUUUUAGAUCUCAUUGGUGUGAUGGAAGAUGUUAGCGACAUCGUAACCGAGGACAAUCCUGAUGGAGAUACUGUUCAGAAAAUAACUUUCACCAUCAGAGAUAUCGAGUAAGCAAUAUUUUCUUUCAUGAUCACUAUGACUUGGUAACAAAGUUUGUAACUUUUAUUGUUUAAAUCGAAGGGAUGUGAAAUUGAAGUGUAUCGCACACGGGGAAUUUGCCGCUGACAUCAAAGAAAGAACCAAAGGAUUCACUGGUCCUUUUGCAGUUUGUUUUUUAACCGAUUAGAACGUAAAUAAAAAGGAAGGUAUGGGUCAUUAAGCAUAUGCCAUUAUAAUUUUCAUUACUUCCAUAAAUGUUUUAUUUUGCAUGUAUAGUUCUUACUAAUCGUUUUAUGUACGUAGAUGAAAUAACUAUCCUUGCGCAUGAAGCAAUUGGUUUUUUUUCCGUCUCCUCCUUGCUCCUUAUACUGAUGAUGUCCUGAUUUUCAGGAGAAAGUAAGUAAUCCGAUACUGAUAUUGAGAGUAUUUUAUAUAUUCAAUAACCUUUAAAUAUGUAUGUGCUUUUAAACUUUCAGGAUUUGGAACAAGUUGGGCAUGACGGAGACAUAAGUCGGAACAAGAACAAAAAAUGACCCCUGAACAAUAUCGUUUGAUUAUGAUGAAAUUUUAAUUUUUAUCUCUCUAAUUUCCAUGCAACAAGACUUAAUGGAGUGAUGUCCUCCUAAUAUCGUUGUAUAAGUUACAUUUUUUUCAUGCUAAGACUUUCUAUCUUAUGUUAUGGUGGAUCUUUUUAUUUUAUUUGGUAUUUCCUUUUAUUAUAUUUUCCAUUGCAAUUUGCUUUUUACUUUUUAAUUAUUAUUUAUUAUGUUUGCUUAUCGUUUAAUAUAGUGUUUCUUAUAUUACAUCAUAUAUAUCUACUAAAGUUAUAUAUCAUAAAUGUUGAACCUGGAAUCAUGAAAAACGUAACAAAAAUAAAAUAUAAAUACGUAAAUCACUUUAUAAAUGUAGACGAUUGUUAAAUAACGCUAAUAUAUGGACUAUAUAAAUCAAUUUAAAAUAAUAAAUAAUCUAACAAAUUUUCGUGAUUUAUGGAUAUAUAAUAUUCUAGACCCAACUAUUGAGAAUGGAAACUGUCACGAAUAUGUUAGGAAAACUCCCAAAAUCUGAGAAUAAAUGGUAAAAUAUGACCCAAAAAAUGAUUUUGAUAUCAUCAAACUAUAAAAAAAAUUUGUAUAAUAAUUAUGUCCGCGCGACACGGACAGUCACCCAAUUUCUUUUAAAAACCAAUUAAUUUGUUUAAACACGAUAUAUUCUCAAUUAAACAACAAUGUAAUCCAUCAUAUAUCAAUUCAAGUGGGCUUGGAUGUUGGGAAGAAGGUUUUUUUUUUUUAACUUUUUAUGUUUUACUUAUACUUGUUGUUGUCCUGCUUAUUUUAUAAAGACAUGUUUAUCUUUAUAUCUUCCAAUCUAAUGGUUCAACCAAUUUGACCAAAUCAUUGAUCCAAUAAUAUCAAAAAAUUUGGUUUUUCUAUUCGUUUUAAAAACACUAAUGAAUCAAAUAGCAAAUGAGAUUACCCUUUCUUUUAGAAAUUAGACGAACCAGACUAACCAGUAAACAGUAAAGAGAGAUUUAUGCUUACCAACAAAUUUCUGAAGUAUAAUCACACUUAUAGAAACUUCUGAGAUGUGGCACGCUUUUCCCUAAGGCAAAUCAAAUUUACCAUCGCAAACUCACAUACAACAGCUAUCGGUUUAUCCUCUCAUCCAACAGAUGAAAGAGAUGCUUCAAAGUAUACUUCUGAAAUGAUGACCAGUGAAGGGUUCUGACUCUACCAGAAAGACUCAAAUAGAUUUAACUUAAUCGAUUUAAUUUUACAUUGCAUAAAUUUGGAUUUGGCCAGAGAUUUUGAAUUUGGAUUUUAGAUUCAAUGGUUACAGACUUAUAGUCUUUAAAGUGGCUAGCUAUAUAAAAUGAAGGUCUUUUACAUGUAUUUAAUAUUUUUUGGUGAUACUGAGAGAUUGUGUUGAUCUGCAGGAAGUAAUGCAACAUUGAAAGACAGCUCAGAAGAUAGCUCUUCAGCCAUUGAGAAAAGCUAAGCCACAUAAACAGUUUUAACAAUAUGGAAAAUUACUUAAAAUUCUUGAAAGAAUUUUAUAAUAUAUCCACCAGAAUUUUAUCACAUUUCAGACUAGAAAUCCCAUAAAUCCUGUAAUGAAAAUCAUAAAAGGUGAUUAGCUGAGAAAGAAGUAUAAUUAAUUCUGAAAAAUAGUCUAUCUAAAUAAAACAUGAUAAGGUGGAGUUUUGAAUAUAUACCUGAGUUUGAGAAAAAAACAUAAUCAGAUUUAGAAAUUUACAUAACUGUUUUUUCUUUGUGAAUAAUUGGGAAUUUGCUAUUAAAUCUUAUAUCAAAAUCAAAAUACGGUAACAUGUAUUUUAAAAAUAUUAAUAAAUAUUGAAUAAUUAAAAAUUCAUAAAUAUUAUAAAAGAAACUAAAAAAUGUAAUAUAAUUGUGGACGAACCACCUAGAUGCUUUUAGGACAAAAUAAAUAUGUCCAUAAUAAUUAUAGUAAAGUGUAAGUUUGGAUCUAUAUUCAUUAAUUUGAAUUUAUAAUAAAAUAUUAAAAUUAUACUCUAUUAUAUAUUUCUAAUCUUUUGCAAGAAAAAAUAAAUAAUAAACAGAAUCACAAAAAUUUCUCAAACUUAUACCAUUUAAAAUAUCUGAAUCAAUUUGAAAAAAAGAUUAAAACGACAUAAAAUAGUUUACGUGAUUAUUGUUAAAUGCCAAAAAUGGCAACUAUCUGAAAACCUAACAUUUACAAGAUGUAGCUAAUCAACACCUAAACAUUACAAUUAACUUUUCUUUAACAAAAAUUUCAUGCACGAACAUAUGUGCAUAUCAACCACUUAAAAUUAUUAGUAUACGAUAAACAUCCUUUACAUAAUGAUCAACCCAUAUAGAUGCUAAAUAUAUUAAAAUUUUGGUAACACCAAUUAUGUCUGCACAAACGGACGAGCCAAUAUCCUAGUUAUGUAUUCAUAAUUGUGAUCAUAUUUAUUACUAGAAACAAAAUAUAAAUAUCAAAUUAAAUCGAAACAAAAAAUAAUUUAUUUUCACUUAUUAUAAAAAGUAAGUCUAUAAAAAACAGAAAUUACAUUACAAAAUUUGAUUAAAAAUUAUUUCCAUGUAGAUGCACAGGAUAAAAUCUAGUAUAUCCUCUAUAUAUUAAACAUGAAGGAAUUUGAUGCGACAUUUGCUGAGGUGUUGCUCUCUAAUUAUUUCUUGGCUAAUUUUUUAUUUACUUAAUUCACCUUUUCCUCUCCUACUAUCUCUGUAUUCAAAUGCUAUUUUGCUGAGGUGUCAUCGCCACAAAAAUCUACAGCAUUUCUGAUUUAUUUAAUUCAUUUAUUAUGUAUCUUCUACUAUCUCUACAGCCAAAUAACUUAUAUCUUCAACAUUUCUAUUUUAUUUAAUUCAUUUAUUUCCAUGCACUUUUCUAUACAACAUACAUAAUUAUUUCGAGGAAAAAAUAAUAUAUAACACUUUAUAUAUUAAAAAAUAUUUUUUAUGUAAUAUUGUAAUACUGAAUGAUGUUCUAAUUUUUUGUUUUCAAACAAUGUUACAAAUAUAUAUCCAUGCAUUUUCAAUAUUCUAACCAUUGAAAAACUAUAACUUUUCUAUAUUUAUAAAAGAAAACACUGUAUAUAUUCGACCAAACAAUUAUUUUUAAUUUCAUAGUUAAAGAAAUAGUUGUAAAUUUUUUGAAAUUUAAAUUUCACGGUUAUGUAAUCUUUUAAAUCGCUUUACAUGAUUUUAUUUGGAAAUAAAUAUUUAAGAAAUUUAUAAAAUAUUGUUCUAUUACCAAAAAAAUAAAGGACACUGAUAACAAAUUAUAGUAAUCUAGAUAUGCAUUCCAAAAAAUUCUGGAAAUAAGAACAAAUAAUUUGAUUUUUUAAAAAAUUUAAACUUUGCGGUUGUUUAAUCUCUCAUUUACGUGUAUAGUUUGUUUUUAAGCAAGGAAUCUUAAAUAAAUUAUAUAAAUUAGGACAGUUACCUUUAGAGGACUUCGAAAACAAACUAUACUAAUCUUGCCAUGCAUUCCCAAAAAAAAUAGUAUUCCCGUGUAAUCUAUCAUUUUAAAAUCUUCAAAAGAAUGGACUAUUAAAUCCUAAAACUUUCGGUGCAAGCUCAUUAUAUACGUAUCUAAUACAAAGAAUACUAACCUAAAAUAACAUAGUCUAUAUAACAAAUGACACUAAUCUACAGCUAUAGUAUAUUCUUUUUAUAUUACCUUCCAUUUUAUAAUUUUUGCGGUGUUCCACUACUCAAAUUAUAUUCAAAUAUUAGGUUUGCCUCCAUCAAAGAUCACAUAAAGAAUUCACCUAACGAUACGCAUUGAUUCCUUCUCAUACCUGUAGAUACAUUUUUGUCAUUCACUCACAUCGCCAAAUAAAAAGUUAUUCCUAUACCUACAGAUUUUUCUUAUCGCAAAUACGAAACCUUUCAAAACUCAAUGGAGAGUGCGUGUUAAGAUUCUAAAGCUGUGAAGGCAGUUUUUGAAUGGUGUUGAAACUCUCGAAUUGGUCGUCGUAUACCUAUCAAAAAGUCUGUUCAAUCAUGAAUGUCACUGAAAUUAACAAAUUUCAAACCUAAGACAGUUGGAUCCAAUUCUUCGGAUGGUUUCAUUGAUGUAGAAAAAGCAAACUAGAUCUUGUAAACAUGAGAUGUCCGGAAUUUCCCACCAUUAUGUGUGACUUGAAAGUUGGUAAAGAUUUUGGUCAUCCCUUCUUCCAACAAAUUCUCAUAUUUCUUAAUGAACUCCUUCUUCACAAACAUAUGCAUUUUUUGAUUCUGUAAAUAAAGACAAUAAAAAUAUAGCAUAAGAUGUCGAGGAUAUUGCACUAUUUAUCAGACUUAAAAAAUUCUUUUAUAAACGUAUUAACUCAGAGUACCUUCUCAUCUAAGACGACCAUUUCCAGAGUUUCAACACCAUUCAAAAACUGCUUCCACAGCUCUAGAAUCUUAACAAGCAUUCUCUAUUGAGUUUUGAAAGGUUUCAAUGCACUGAGAUUGGUAAAAGGGGCCAUUAUUUUAUUAUUUGCGAUAAGAAGAAUCUGUAGGUAUAGGAAAGAAUUUUAUAUUGGCAUUGUGAGUGAAUUGCGAGAAAUAUAUAAAUAGGGAUGAGAAGGUAUCUAUGCGUAUCGUUAGGUUAAAUCUUUGUGUGAUCUUUGAUGGAGGCAAAACUAAUAGUUGAGUUUGAAUAGUGUAACACCGCGAAAGUUUUAAAAUGGAAAGUAAUCUAAUAUAUAAAACAUGAAGGGCAUUCUCCAGAGAUUGACAACUCAACAUUUAAAAGCCAAUAAGAAAUUAACGUUUAUUCCUCUUAUUAAUACAUAUAUAUAAAUGAAUCAACCAUUUAUUCUAAUUUUUAUUACGUUAAAAAUAUAAACUUAUAAAAUAAUAAAAAUUAAACUCAAAUUUAAUUUAAUUAUCCUAUAUCUAUAAAUAAAAAAACUAAUAUUAGAUUUUAAUUUGGUCUUUUUUUCACUGUGUGAUAUAUUCAUCAUUUUUGAAAUUACAAAGAUCAUUUAUUCGCAAAGCAAUUAGAAAAUAAAAACAAGUAAUAAAAUUAAAAAUUUCUAAAAACUGAUGAACAAAUUUUUUUAAAAAAAAAUAUAAGAGCUAGAAAAUCAAAACACACAAAAAAAUCAUUAAAUAAUCAAUACGAUAAAGAGAAAAAAUGACAAAAAAGAAUAUGAUAACAAAUAAGUAUAAAAUUUAUAGAGUCAUGGGAACAUAGGUCGAACCAAUUGAAAAAAUGUGAAAAAAAAGCAUGAAAAUAGUAAAUUGCAAAAAGUAAAAAUGAUUACUAUAUGGAGAUUUCAAUGGAAAAAAAAAGUAAAAAACAAUGGAUUGAAAAGAUUACCAGCUAGGAUCAUCAAGGAAAAACAUAUAUAAAAUAAAUCACAAAAAAAAAAAUCAAAAGUUGAACUAAAAUAUUAAAAACAUAACUUAAAAUCUGUCCCAACUAUUAGUUCCUAUAUAAACUAUUUAAUUUAAAUUUAACUGUGUUACAAACAUUAAAUCAUAAAGCAUAAUUUAAAUCAAAUUUAAAUCUAAUUUAAAACAUCAUAAGUAUAAGUUAAAUCAAAAUUAAAUUUAGAUUAAAGCAUCAUAACAUAUGAAUAAAAAAUAAUUGAGAUUUUAAGUGUGAGUUAAUCUUUAUUUUUGAACUAAUAAAGAUCAUUUAAUUUCAAUGCAAAAGAAGAAAAUAAAUAUGAGACAAAAUUAAAGAUAAUAGUCUAAACAAGUUUUCAAUAUCUAAAGAAUCAAAAAAAGGAAGAAAACUAUAGUAACAAAAGUAACAUUUAAUAAACAAUUGAAAAGAUAAAAAAUUAUAAAAAUAUUGAAAAAAUGACAAAGCAAAAAGGAAAUAAUAUAACAACAAGUAAAUAUACAAAAUAUUAAAGAUGUAAGUAAAAAAAGAUGGAAUUAGUGAUAAAUAUAUAUAUAUAUAUAUAUAUAUGUGUGUAUGUGUGACAAAAACAUAAAAUUCGUAGUUUGAGAAAGUUAAUAAAUUAACACUAAAUCAUGAUUUGGAUGAAAAAAACUCGAAAAACAAUGGAUGAAUGAGAUUAUUAAGAUUAUAAAAAAAAUAUAAAAUAAUAUAAAAAAUUAAAAAUCGAUAGUUUAUAAUCAUGGCGUAGUGCAGGUUUUCUUCUAGUAUAAAAUAAAUAUACUAUAGAUGUAGAUUAGUGUACUUUGUUAUUUAGAAGACGUCAUUUUAGGUUAGUAUUCUUUGUAUUAUAUACGUAUAUAAUGAGCCUGCAUCAAAAGUUUUGGGAUUUAAGAAACCAUCUCUUCAUAUAUUAUAGGAAUUUAUAAGAAUUUAAAAUCAUAUAAUACACGGGAAUAUUUUUUUUUUUGGAUGCAUGGUAAGAUUAGUAUAGUUUGUUUUCAACGUCCUCUAGAAUUAAGGUAACUGUCCCUAUUGAAUUAAUUUAUUUAAUUGAUUUCUUAAAAAAAAAUUAUAUCAAUAAAUGAAGGAUUACACACCCGCGAAUUUGAAAUUUUUAAAAAUUCAAAUUAUUUGUCUUUGUAUAAUUGAUUUUUGGAAUGCAUAUCUAGUUAGUAUAGUUUCUUAUCAACGUCUUCUAUUUUCUGUAAGAGACCAAUGGUUUUUAAUUUUUUUUUUAAUAUUUCAUUCUAAAUAAAAUCAUGUAAAGUGAAUGUAUGGAUUACACAACCGUGAAAUAAAAAUUUCAAAAAUUUCGAAAAUGUAGUCAAUUAUUAAGAAAUUAGAAAAUAGUUAUUUGGUCGAAGAUAUACAAUGUUUUAUUUUAGAGUUAUGUAUGAAAUUUCUAGUUUUUUCAUUGGAUAUGGAAUUAUAAAUGCAUUCAUAAUUAGUUGGAACAUCGUAUAAGUAUAUUAUUAGAUCCUACAAUAUUAAAAUAUUAUUUACAGAUCAUCUCUUAUAUAUAAAGUGUUAUAUUGAGGAUGAUAUUUUUGCGAAAUAAUUAUGUGUGUUAGAUAUAUAAAAGUUGAUGAAAAUAAAUGAAUUAAAUAAAUCCAAAAUGAUGUAGAUAAAAUGUUUGGCUGUAGAGAUAGUAGGAAUUAAAUAAAUAAAUUAAAUAAUCAGAAAUGUUGUAGAUUUUGUGGCGAUGACACCUCAGCAAAAUAAUGUUUAGAUAUAAAGAUAAUAGGAGAUAGAAAAAAUGAAUUUGUUAAAUAAAAAAUUAGCCAAGAAGUAAGGAAAGAACGACACCUCAGCAAAUAUCGCCUCAAAUUCCUUCUUGUUUAAUAUAUAGAGGAUUAUUAACAAAAAAAAUUAUUUUAUAAAAAGAGAAAAUAAAAAUAGCUCCAAGAAAGUAAAAAUUAACAAAAAUAGCUCCUCAUUUUGGAAAGGACCAAACUAGCAUUCAUUUAAAUUGAAAGGAGUUAAAAUACAAAAAAAAAAAACAAAUUAACCCAUUAUUCUGGGUUUUGAAUUGAAUGAUGUUAUCGGCAAAUAGAGAUGUGGGAUUUCAGCUCAUCCAUCAUUGACGACUUCUCAUCCAUCAUUAUCUCUGGCAAUUGAAUUUCUUAGAGAUUAUCUUGAUCUAUAGUUUUUAUUUUGUUGAAAAUUGCCUAGAAUAGAUAAUUUUUAAGAUUCAAGCACCUUAUCGACAAUCCAUUAGCUUUGAGAGUCAUCGAUCAGAGUCAUCGACAAUCCAUCUAUCGUCAGGUCUCACGAUCGCAGGUUUCUUCUUUAACUGCUAUAUUUUUCGAUUUGAUUUAUUUUCUCGCAAAUCUAGCUUUGAGUAUGUAUUUUGCAGCUUGUUCUUGUUUCAGGGCAAUUCAUGAUUGUCUUCCUAAUUAUGUACUAACGCUUUCUUAAAUUUCAGAAAACUCUUGUGUUUUUUUUUUUCUUCUGAAAUCAAGUUUUUAAUCAUGC
rnacentral:lncRNA from 1 species